AGUGAACGCUGGCGGUAGGCCUAACACAUGCAAGUCGAACGGCAGCACAGUAAGAGCUUGCUCUUACGGGUGGCGAGUGGCGGACGGGUGAGGAAUACAUCGGAAUCUACUUUUUCGUGGGGGAUAACGUAGGGAAACUUACGCUAUUACCGCAUACGACCUACGGGUGAAAGCAUGGGAUCUUCGGACCUUGCGCGAUUGAAUGAGCCGAUGUCGGAUUAGCUAGUUGGCGGGGUAAAGGCCCACCAAGGCGACGAUCCGUAGCUGGUCUGAGAGGAUGAUCAGCCACACUGGAACUGAGACACGGUCCAGACUCCUACGGGAGGCAGCAGUGGGGAAUAUUGGACAAUGGGCGCAAGCCUGAUCCAGCCAUACCGCGUGUGUGAAGAAGGCCUUCGGGUUGUAAAGCACUUUUGUUGGGAAAGAAAAGCAGCAGGUUAAUACCCCGCUGUUCCGACGGUACCCAAAGAAUAAGCACCGGCUAACUUCGUG
rnacentral:rRNA from 1 species